AUUGAACGCUGGCGGCAGGCCUAACACAUGCAAGUCGAGCGGAUGAAGGGUGCUUGCUCCUGGAUUCAGCGGCGGACGGGUGAGUAAUGCCUAGGAAUCUGCCUGGUAGUGGUGGAUAACGUCCGGAAACGGGCGCUAAUACCGCAUACGUCCUGAGGGAGAAAGUGGGGGAUCUUCGGACCUCACGCUAUCAGAUGAGCCUAGGUCGGAUUAGCUAGUUGGUGGGGUAAAGGCCUGCCAAGGGGACGAUCCGUAACUGGUCUGAGGGGAUGCUCAGUGACAGUGGAAGUGGGACACGGUCCAGGGGCCUAAGGGAGGCCGCAGUGGGGAAUGGGGGACAGUGGGGGGAAGCAUGACCCAGCGAUGCCACGUGUGUGAAGAAAGUCUUCGGAGUGGAAAGCCGGUUUAGGGGUGAGAAAGGGCAGUAAGUUGAGACCUUGCUGUUGUGACGGUACCAAGAGAAGAAGCACCGGCUAACUUCGUG
rnacentral:rRNA from 1 species